rnacentral:tRNA from 13 species
GACUCGGUGGCGCAACAGUAGCGCGUCUGACUCCAGAUCAGAAGGCUGCGUGUUCAAAUCACGUGCGGGUCA